GGGCGGCGCAUGCGCAGAAAGAACUGGGAGGGCCGUCCCAUGAGCCUGUGCGGUGAUCUUGUGAGUCGAAACUACAUUUCCCAAAAGUCCUUGCGCCCCCUCAGCCAGCAGGGAGCCGGAUUUCCGAAUUACCUGAGUAGUGGGAAAUAAUGUCUUCCGCGAGUUAAGUGCGUGGAAUCCUGAUUCUUCGCUGGACGCAUUCGUAUCUGGAACAAUGCUGUUCGACUGCAGAGUGGACAGUGAGCAAGAGAAAGGUCUUCCUUUGCUGUUGGUUCACCCUCUAAUGGCUGCCGCGGCCGGCACACCGCGCUGAUCCGAUGGCAGGAGCCAGGUACUUAUCCUGUUCUCCCAUGGGGUGCACGGCCCAAGUACUUGGGCCAUCCUCCACUGCACUCCCUGGCCACAGCAGAGAGCUGGCCUGGAAGAGGGGCAACCGGGACAGAAUCCGGCGCCCUGACCGGGACUAGAACCCAGUGUGCCGGCGCCGCAAGGUGGAGGAUUAGCCUAGUGAGCCGCGGCGCCGGCCGAACUUUAUGUCUUUAAAACAAUCUUGAUUUCCGCCUACAGAAUAAGCACAAAUCACAAGCUUGUAUUGUAAAAACUGUUAAUCUCAAGUUGUAUUUUCUCUAUAAAAAAGUUGGCCAACACUCAGCGAUCAGGAUUAUAUUAUAUUCAUCAUCCACCACUCAUACUGGACAUGACAAACACUCCUCCCAUUCCAUUUACGCCCAUUGACACACAGCUUCCACUGUGUAGUUGCUGCUGUUCAUGGCUCUAAGCUACUGAGUACAUGCACACUGCUCUGCUGUGCCCUCUGUAACCUCCACUCAGUUGCUGGCUGUCUGGGUCACCAUAAAUGGACUGAUCUGACAAGACCAGGUCUCCAGUAUCAUUUGACUACCAUAAGCACCACUACUUGCUCCUGCUGUAGCGUUCAGGCAGAGCUCUACACAUCUGUGUUGCAUAUUUGCUUUGUCUUUUUGACAUAGCUGCCACAGCACCAUCAUGAGUUGCGAACUCAACAUCUGCUUCACCAAGUUACUCUACCAUUGGGACCAACUUUAAUGUGAAUUCUCACAGGGUUGAAAGCAUUGUGGGAAGGAGUUAGACCACCGACUGUAGCGCCGGCAUCCCUUAUGGACAUUGGUUCGUGUACCGGCUGCUCCACUUCCAAUCCAGCUCACUGCUAACACACUUGGGAAAGCAGCAGAGGAUGGCCCAAAUCCUUGGACCUCUGCACCCACAGGAAGAAGCUCCUGGAUCCUGGCUUCAGACCAUCCCAGCUCCGCCCAUUACAGCUACUGGGGAGAGAACCAGCAGAUGGAAGAUUUAUCUCUGUUCUUCUCUCUCUCUAACUCUUUCAAAUAAUAAAUCUAUAAAAAAAAAAAAA